rnacentral:rRNA from 2 species
AGAGUUUGAUCAUGGCUCAGAUUGAACGCUGGCGGCAGGCCUAACACAUGCAAGUCGAGCGGAAACGAGUUAUCUGAACCUUCGGGGGACGAUAACGGCGUCGAGCGGCGGACGGGUGAGUAAUGCCUAGGAAAUUGCCCUGAUGUGGGGGAUAACCAUUGGAAACGAUGGCUAAUACCGCAUAAUGCCUACGGGCCAAAGAGGGGGACCUUCGGGCCUCUCGCGUCAGGAUAUGCCUAGGUGGGAUUAGCUAGUUGGUGAGGUAAUGGCUCACCAAGGCGACGAUCCCUAGCUGGUCUGAGAGGAUGAUCAGCCACACUGGAACUGAGACACGGUCCAGACUCCUACGGGAGGCAGCAGUGGGGAAUAUUGCACAAUGGGCGCAAGCCUGAUGCAGCCAUGCCGCGUGUGUGAAGAAGGCCUUCGGGUUGUAAAGCACUUUCAGUCGUGAGGAAGGUAGUGUAGUUAAUAGCUGCAUUAUUUGACGUUAGCGACAGAAGAAGCACCGGCUAACUCCGUGCCAGCAGCCGCGGUAAUACGGAGGGUGCGAGCGUUAAUCGGAAUUACUGGGCGUAAAGCGCAUGCAGGUGGUUUGUUAAGUCAGAUGUGAAAGCCCGGGGCUCAACCUCGGAAUAGCAUUUGAAACUGGCAGACUAGAGUACUGUAGAGGGGGGUAGAAUUUCAGGUGUAGCGGUGAAAUGCGUAGAGAUCUGAAGGAAUACCGGUGGCGAAGGCGGCCCCCUGGACAGAUACUGACACUCAGAUGCGAAAGCGUGGGGAGCAAACAGGAUUAGAUACCCUGGUAGUCCACGCCGUAAACGAUGUCUACUUGGAGGUUGUGGCCUUGAGCCGUGGCUUUCGGAGCUAACGCGUUAAGUAGACCGCCUGGGGAGUACGGUCGCAAGAUUAAAACUCAAAUGAAUUGACGGGGGCCCGCACAAGCGGUGGAGCAUGUGGUUUAAUUCGAUGCAACGCGAAGAACCUUACCUACUCUUGACAUCCAGAGAACUUUCCAGAGAUGGAUUGGUGCCUUCGGGAACUCUGAGACAGGUGCUGCAUGGCUGUCGUCAGCUCGUGUUGUGAAAUGUUGGGUUAAGUCCCGCAACGAGCGCAACCCUUAUCCUUGUUUGCCAGCGAGUAAUGUCGGGAACUCCAGGGAGACUGCCGGUGAUAAACCGGAGGAAGGUGGGGACGACGUCAAGUCAUCAUGGCCCUUACGAGUAGGGCUACACACGUGCUACAAUGGCGCAUACAGAGGGCAGCAAGCUAGCGAUAGUGAGCGAAUCCCAAAAAGUGCGUCGUAGUCCGGAUUGGAGUCUGCAACUCGACUCCAUGAAGUCGGAAUCGCUAGUAAUCGUGGAUCAGAAUGCCACGGUGAAUACGUUCCCGGGCCUUGUACACACCGCCCGUCACACCAUGGGAGUGGGCUGCAAAAGAAGUAGGUAGUUUAACCUUCGGGAGGACGCUUACCACUUUGUGGUUCAUGACUGGGGUGAAGUCGUAACAAGGUAGCGCUAGGGGAACCUGGCGCUGGAUCACCU